rnacentral:snoRNA from 1 species
UUGGCCCUGAAUCAAGGCCAAUAGUUUGUUGAAGCUGUUAGUUUCAAGGUGGUGCCUAAAGAAAUGCCUUUCUAUGGUCUGUUGGCCAUUUCAGAAAUUUGGAAGUAUAAUGGUCAAUUCAUUAGAAAGAAACAUGU